ensembl:misc_RNA
CAGGCAGCUCUGUAAACCGAAAUCCUUUAUUGAGCCAUAGAUCAGAUACAGCAUGAGCUGUGGUAAUACAAGCUUCUGCACCCUGCCCAGCAAUGUGCUUCAAUCCUGACCUGGAAGAGCUACCUCUGAGAGAUGAAAGUGUAAAUUCAUUCAGUGCCUUGGUCUUUCUUCUGAGUCU